rnacentral:sRNA from 1 species
GAGGUACGCGGAUAGAGCCCUAUGGUCGC